ACUAGAUGGUUUGAUUUGAGCCACUCAUCUACACUCACGGGCUGGAUCCAUCUCGUGACCAGAGAAUGCACCAGAGGCCUGAGUGGGGUAAAGGGAAGGAGUCAGAGCCCUGGAUCAGAGAAAUGGCAUGUGAGAUCCAUGUGGACCUGAGCUUAUAAAGUCGUAAUUCCCCAGAGCUUCUUCACGACUCCAAAGAGUAUCAUGCCGGUUAUAUGGUGGGGCCAGAAAGACGGCUCUGCUGCCCAGGAUGGAUUAUACCAGGGAACAAAGUUUGUCCUCCUGAUACACCCGAUCUGGAAUGAUCAAUAAGGAACGAUCGGUGGUCAAUAAGGACACAUCCACGCGCUUUCGUUAAAAUACUCUGAGUUUUCAAGGACUCCUGGUUGACUACAGGUGGCCGUGUGGUUCUGAUGAAGCACGAGGCCAUGGAUAUUUGGAGCGGUCACUCUGUGCAGGGUCCAAAGCUGCAGAGCAGAAUGACUCAGGACAGACAGCAGGGGAACUCUAGAAGGCGUAACCUCCCCAGCAGAUGAGGUCUUGAUGGAUGACUCCUGAUUAUGGAGUCCUUUUCAUUUACAUUCUGGGUUGUUACCAGGAAUAAAUCCUACUGUUUCUAAUUAAUGCA